rnacentral:rRNA from 1 species
GAUGAACGCUGGCGGCGUGCCUAAUACAUGCAAGUCGAGUGAACAGACGAGGAGCUUGCUCCUCUGACGUUAGCGGCGGACGGGUGAGUAACACGUGGAUAACCUACCUAUAAGACUGGGAUAACUUCGGGAAACCGGAGCUAAUACCGGAUAAUAUAUUGAACCGCAUGGUUCAAUAGUGAAAGACGGUUUUGCUGUCACUUAUAGAUGGAUCCGCGCCGCAUUAGCUAGUUGGUAAGGUAACGGCUUACCAAGGCAACGAUGCGUAGCCGACCUGAGAGGGUGAUCGGCCACACUGGAACUGAGACACGGUCCAGACUCCUACGGGAGGCAGCAGUAGGGAAUCUUCCGCAAUGGGCGAGAGCCUGACGGAGCAACGCCGCGUGAGUGAUGAAGGUCUUCGGAUCGUAAAACGCUGUUAUUAGGGAAGAACAAAUGUGUAAGUAACUAUGCACGUCUUGACGGUACCUAAUCAGAAAGCCACGGCUAACUACGUG